UACGGAGGGUGCAAACGUUGCUCGGAAUCAUUGGGCGUAAAGCGCACGUAGGCGGUCCGUUAAGUCGGGAGUGAAAGCCCCAGGCUCAACUUGGGAAGUGCUUUCGAAACUGGCGGACUUGAAUACUGGAGAGGAUCGCGGAAUUCCCGGUGUAGAGGUGAAAUUCGUAGAUAUCGGGAGGAACACCAGCGGCGAAGGCGGCGAUCUGGACAGAUAUUGACGCUGAGGUGCGAAAGCUAGGGGAGCAAACGGG
rnacentral:rRNA from 1 species